AGGGCACAGUCCUAUGACACUUGGGUCAGUCGUGUUACAGAAGCAUUGUCUGCUAACUUCAACCACAAAAAAGAUUUGAUUGAAUUGCGAGUAAUGCUGGAAGAUGCUGAGGAUAGGAAAUACCCAGAGAAUGAUCUCUUUCGAAAACUCAGGGAUGCUGUAAAAGAAGCUGAGACCUGUGCUUCUGUGGCUCAGCUGCUUCUGAGCAAAAAGCAGAAACACAGGUAAACCUAAGAAGAGUUUAAUUCUCCAGUGUUUUCCUGUUUCUUUCAGAGUAAAAACCAAAAUUUUAUCCGGCCUGUGAAGCCGUACAUUAUCUUUGACCUCUUGUUGCCAUGUCUCUUGCUUCCCCAGUAAUGCUCCAGUUUUAUCUCCUAC
rnacentral:lncRNA from 10 species